UGCAGAGCGAGUUUAAUCCUGAAAAUCUUACCCUUUUUAGUGAAAUUGAGAUACAGAGCACAUCUGGCCAACAGAAUACUGAGGAAAAGGAGAAUGGCAAAGAAGAGGGUGAGAUGGAAGAUGAGGAUGAAGUCGCCCCAUGUUCAGAGCCCACCUAUCAAAACCUCCACAGAAAAAUCCACACUCUUCAAAGCUUCUUUCGAGACCCUGUGCAAUGUUAUGAUGAGGCUGGAUGGU